UAUUUCUUGCCAUUUUUUUAGACGAAAAAGAGAAUGUCGGUUCUAUCGGACAAAUUUAAUUAUAUUCUUUACAUCUAAAAGAGUGUUGUCGGUUUGAGCCGCCAAAAAAUAUUUCAACCCUACAUAAAACCCCUUCUCUCUUCCUUGAGCUGCUGCCUUCUCGCUUCCCCAGUUUCUUCUCCUUCCCGUUGCAUUCAUUCCCCCUUUCCUUCUCCUGUUCUUCUCCCCUUCUCCUUCUCCCUUCAUCUCUCCCAAAAUCACAACUAACAAUCCCAAAUUCAUGGUCAUAGCACCGCUGCUCUGCAGUUUUCCGUAUACGAAUCGCAAUCUCAGGGUACCCCCAUAGCACCACAGUAGCACCACCAUGUAGCUCUCUCUGCAAAUUUCUUCACUCCGUUGCUGCUAUACAACUCACAGUCGCAUCACCAGAAAUUCAGGAAAGAGGAGAUCAGGGCAUUUAUGCGGCUAAGUGUUGUGAAAGAAUCUGCACCGUGUAAAACUAUGGAUUGGUAUUAUAACUUCAAAUUGAUGUCAUAUGUAUGCAUGCCAACUGUCCAUGGGAUGCCAAUUCCUAAAGGAAAUAGUAGUUCUGAUAGAUAGCCACCAUUGGGCAUUUGGAUGGAAAACAAAUAAAAUGCUGAAGCACAUCGUUGAAAGGUGAACGUUUCAAACAGUUUAUAUGUGAUUUUUU